rnacentral:rRNA from 1 species
UACGUAGGGUGCAAGCGUUAUCCGGAAUUAUUGGGCGUAAAGAGCUCGUAGGCGGUUUGUCACGUCUGCUGUGAAAACUGGAGGCUCAACCUCCAGCCUGCAGUGGGUACGGGCAGACUAGAGUGCGGUAGGGGAGAUUGGAAUUCCUGGUGUAGCGGUGGAAUGCGCAGAUAUCAGGAGGAACACUGGUGGCGAAGGCGGUUCUCUGGGCCUUACCUGACGCUGAGGAGCGAAAGCGUGGGGAGCGAACAGG